rnacentral:rRNA from 1 species
GUGGCCCAACGGCGGUCGGCCGCAAGGUCUGUACUGCCGGUUUUCGGACCACCUCUUUCUGGGGGAACGUCGGCCCUUAACUGGGCUCGGCGGCCGAACCAGGACGUUUACUUUGAAAAAAUUAGAGUGUUUAAAGCAAGCAUUCGCUUGAAUACAUUAGCAUGGAAUAAUAGAAUAGGACUUUGGUUCUAUUUUGUUGGUUUAGGGCCGAAGUA